rnacentral:rRNA from 1 species
UAGGGAAUCUUCCACAAUGGACGAAAGUCUGAUGGAGCAACGCCGCGUGUGUGAUGAAGGGUUUCGGCUCGUAAAACACUGUUGUAAGAGAAGAAUGACAUUGAGAGUAACUGUUCAAUGUGUGACGGUAUCUUACCAGAAAGGAACGGCUAAAUACGNGCCAG